rnacentral:rRNA from 1 species
UAGUGGCGGACGGGUGAGUAACGCGUGGACAACCUGCCUUUCACAGGGGGAUAGCAGCUGGAAACGGCUGGUAAUACCGCAUACGCUCAUGUCACCGCAUGGUGAUGUGAGGAAAGAUUUAUCGGUGAAAGAUGGAUCCGCGUCUGAUUAGCCAGUUGGCGGGGUAACGGCCCACCAAAGCGACGAUCAGUAGCCGGCCUGAGAGGGCGGACGGCCACAUUGGGACUGAGACACGGCCCAGACUCCUACGGGAGGCAGCAGUGGGGGGAUAUUGCACAAUGGGCGCAAGCCUGAUGCAGCGACGCCGCGUGAGUGAAGAAGUAUUUUCGGUAUGUAAAGCUCUAUCAGCAGGGAAGAAAGGCUCGAAAGAGAGAUGACCGGUACCUGACUAAGAAGCCCCCCGGCUAACUACGUGGCCACCAGCCCCCGUAAUACGUAGGGGGCAAGCGUGUCCCGGAAUGAUUGGGCGUAAAGGGCGCGUAGGCGGGCUUUGUAAGUCUGGAGUGAAAGUCCUGCUUUUAAGGUGGGAAUUGCUUUGGAUACUGCAGGGCUUGAGUGCAGGAGAGGUAAGUGGAAUUCCCAGUGUAGCGGUGAAAUGCGUAGAGAUUGGGAGGAACACCAGUGGCGAAGGCGGCUUACUGGACUGUAACUGACGCUGAGGCGCGAAAGUGUGGGGAGCAAACAGGAUUAGAUACCCUGGUAGUCCACACUGUAAACGAUGAAUGCUAGGUGUAGGGGGUAUCGACCCCUUCUGUGCCGGAGUAAACACAAUAAGCAUUCCGCCUGGGAAGUACGGCCGCAAGGUUGAAACUCAAAGGAAUUGACGGGGGCCCGCACAAGCAGCGGAGCAUGUGGUUUAAUUCGAAGCAACGCGAAGAACCUUACCAGGUCUUGACAUCCAAUAAAACUUGUAGAGAUACAUCGUGCCUUCGGGCGUAUUGAGACAGGUGGUGCAUGGUUGUCGUCAGCUCGUGUCGUGAGAUGUUGGGUUAAGUCCCGCAACGAGCGCAACCCUUGUGAUCAGUUACUAACGGGUAAAGCCGAGGACUCUGAUAAGACUGCCGGGGACAACUCGGAGGAAGGUGGGGACGACGUCAAAUCAUCAUGCCCCUUACGACUUGGGCUACACACGUGCUACAAUGGGUACAACAAAGGGAUGCGAAACCGCAAGGUGGAGCCAAACCCAGAAAAGUACUCUCAGUUCAGAUUGUGGGCUGCAACCCGCCCACAUGAAGUUGGAGUUGCUAGUAAUCGCGGAUCAGCAUACCGCGGUGAAUACGUUCCCGGGCCUUG